UAUCUUUUUAUCGUCAUGGUGAAUAUGCAGUAUAAUUAGCAUUUUGUAAUGGAAAAUCAUCAGCAGAACCAGCUGCUUAAGAACUAUUCAAAAAUGCUCAUAAAACAAAUUAGAACCUCCAAAAUAUGGACAUUCUUGAAACAGUGUAAGCUAAAUAAUGUCUUCCCUUCUUCAAUUAAUAGAAUCACACUCCCAAUGAAAUCGAAGAAAGUGCUCCAAGACACAAAAAGAAUUUGUCUCAUAGUCGCCACAAGGGAUGCCAAGAUUCUAUGCUCUUUUGAAAAAAGAAAAUGAACUAAAACCUGCACUGUAUAGUGGAAACAUUCCGCCACAUCGUAUCCAGCACGCUGAAAGGAAGGCAGACACUCUAGGAUGCAUGCUAAGAGAAGAACACAUGAAGAAGCAUAAAUGGCUAUUUAGGAAACAAAAAGCACAUAAGAGAAUAACAGCUCUAGACUUAGACAAAGUAAUAUGUAGUAAUAUAAUGUAGUAAUAUGUAGUAAUAGUAGACAAAGUAGUAAUAUAAUGGAAUUAAUUAUAGAUAACAUUGAUCUCCUGACCUAUUCAUUUCUUCUUCCCAUGGGUAA
rnacentral:lncRNA from 1 species